GUUGUGUGAAUGGUUGUAUAGUUGUUUGUUGUCCUGCUAUGUCCGUUUCUUAACUGUGUGCCAUACAGGCCUGUAGUAGUACUACUCCAAUUGAGCAGGCUGUGGGGCUACAACACUGUGGUUUUCAUUGUGUGUCCAGGGUGAACAGGGAAAAGACGGCUUCCACGGUAAUCCGGGUUUACCGGGGAUCCCAGGUUUGCAAGGACCGAUAGGAGAGCCUGGAGCCUCUGGGUGCAACGGAACAGAUGGUGAAGAUGGAAGCGCUGGUUUACCCGGCCACCAUGGUCCUGAAGGCCCCCCAGGUUUACCAGGACUGCACGGACCCAAGGUACAGAAGAGAAAUUUGAUGUUUUAUCACGACAUUGAGAUAUAACCGUAGAGCGUGAGACUGAACGCAGGUGUAUCUCUGCAUCACUGCCUUCUCUGUGGACAAUCAACCCCCUUGCAGUUGCCGUGGGAGCCACCAACAAUGUUUGGAAUGUUUUAUCAGCUCACUCCUCCUAGACACUCCUGUAGCUGGAACCUCCCCCAUUCCCAUUGUGAUGGCUAAGCGGAAGUUACUAAAUAUCAAACCUUAUGUGAUUAAUCUGUGCUGUUAGGAAGCCCGCCCUUGGUGUCAAAUAAAAAAUUGUGUUU
rnacentral:lncRNA from 1 species